AAUGCAUAGAUAAUGUGCCCCUUAGUUCGGGAUAGCCACUGGAAACGGUGAUUAAUACCGGAUACUCCUUCUUGUUAUAAGACAAGUCGGGAAAGCUUUUCGCUAAGGGAUCAGUCUAUGUUCCAUCAGCUUGUUGGUGAGGUAAUGGCUCACCAAGGCUAUGACGGAUAUCUGGUUUGAGAGGAUGAUCAGACACACUGGAACUGAGACACGGUCCAGACUCCUACGGGAGGCAGCAGUGAGGAAUAUUGCACAAUGGAGGAAACUCUGAUGCAGCAACGCCGCGCGGAGGAUGACGCAUUUCGGUGUGUAAACUCCUUUUAUUAGGGAAGAUAAUGACGGUACCUAAUGAAUAAGCACCGGCUAACUCCGUGCCAGCAGCCGCGGUAAUACGGAGGGUACAAGCGUUACUCGGAAUCACUGGGCGUAAAGGGUGCGUAGGCUGGCUUUUAAGUCAGAUGUGAAAUCCAAUGGCUCAACCAUUGAACUGCAUUUGAAACUGAAAGCCUAGAGUUCAGAAGGGGCAGAUGGAAUUAGUGGUGUAGGGGUAAAAUCCGUAGAUAUCACUAGGAAUAUCAAAAGCGAAGGCGAUCUGCUGGGAUGAUACUG
rnacentral:rRNA from 1 species